GCCGGAAUGGCUCAGUUGGGAGAGCAUUAGACUACAGAUCGAAAGUCCCUUGUUCGAUACCGGUUUUCGGCA
rnacentral:tRNA from 1 species